rnacentral:tRNA from 1 species
GGGGGUAUAGUUCAGUGGUAGAGCACCUGCUUAGCAUGCACAAUGUCCUGGGUUCGAUUCCUAGUACCUCCA